rnacentral:lncRNA from 1 species
GCUGAUCUCACCUUGUCAUUGUGACACGGUGUCUCCCCAACGUGCUGGCUUCAUGACUUGUGCCCAGAGUUUGAUUUUCCACAGACCAGAUUAACUCUUAAGUACUCCACAACUACACGCUUUUGAAACUGGCGUUGGCAUAGCGUUAGUUCUGUGCAGGGCGGACGCAGCAGGACAGAAUCUCCCUGGGCAUCUUUUCGGAGCAUCAAUUUUACUGCAAAAUUUUGAAAAAACAAAUUUAAUUGAUUUCCAAGGUUUGUCAAGGAGGACAGAAACUCAGAGCACCCUGCACUUGGGGAUCGGCACUAGGAGCUGCUCUCUGGAUGGGGAGAUGGGAGCUAGCAGCUCACAAUGGGGUCACAAGAAUAUUGGUUCUUCUUUUAUCUGAAGUGAGGAGCACCAGAGGACUGAUCACGGCAUAGACAUUGACUACAAGACUCUGAACUUGCUG